rnacentral:lncRNA from 1 species
AGCAUUUGGACAUCUGCCACCCGGAGGGCACUGCUCCCUCUUUUUCUUCAUCUCACCAUCCUGCCCGGCCUGGCAGCAGCCGUGGGCAGCCUCCCAUGACGCAAGCGGGUGACCGAGCUUACUCUGAGAGGCGCUGCGGCCAGGAUUGGAAGGAGGAGGGAGGCACACACUUUGAAUUUGUGAGAAAUUUAGACUGGUUUUGAUUAGAUGAGAGUUUUUAAUACCAGAAAAGGAGACCCAUCUAAUGGGUGAUGGGAGCGCUAUUGGAUCCCCGCAGGAUGUGAUCCAGGGGCGGUGGGGGGCCAUACAGCCAGCUGAAGGGAGUGGUUGGGGAAAAGAAAUUAAAGUUGUUCUCUCUCUGAACCCCACAGAGCCCAAGCAGAUCAAGCAGGUUAUAUUUGGAAACCAGGCCAGUGGAGUUGGCCGAGUGCGCAGCAUCAGGCAGCACAAGGUGAACAAGAAUCCAAACCAGACCAUCGCGGAGUCUGCUCCCGGCCGCCCUGGGUUAGAGUCCAGGUUCUGGAGCCCCCCUGAGAGAACCAAAGCAUCACCCAGAGGCACCACCUCGUGGCGAAGCAUCGGCUCAAAGGACCCUUCGCAUGAGACCCUUGACAAUGGCUCCUCUGGCCUAAAACGGGAUCUGGACUCACAACCGUGGUGCUCAAGCUCCUGUCUCGCCUGCAAAAGGCCAGUAUCAACCAUCUAACCAUCCCAUCCGGGCCUCGUUUUCUGGGCGUUCCCACACGGGCGCUGGACGUGACCGUCUCCCGCGCUCGGCCUGCCGGGGGCUCUGAGAAGUCAGUGCGGCCAGCCCGGUUCUAUAGGCGUGGACCUGAGGUUUGGAAAGAUGAGGGCACUCUUCUGGGACCUCACAGCUGGGAAGUGGC